rnacentral:precursor_RNA from 15 species
CAGUCUAAUUAGUGCAAGGUUGCUCGAAAUUGGGCAAAAGUCCGCCUGAACAUUUUUCUAAUUGUUCAGGCGCUCUUUUGCAUGACUUUGGCCAACCACAACCAGCAGUGCUAGUU